UCUGUAGGUGGUUUGAUAAGUCAACUGUUAAAUCUUGAGGCUCAACUUCAAAAUCGCAGUCGAAACUAUUAGACUAGAGUAUAGUAGAGGUAAAGGGAAUUUCCAGUGGAGCGGUGAAAUGCGUAGAUAUUGGAAAGAACACCGAUGGCGAAAGCACUUUACUGGGCUAUUACUAACACUCAGAGACGAAAGCUAGGGUAGCAAAUG
rnacentral:rRNA from 1 species